AUUGAACGCUGGCGGCAGGCCUAACACAUGCAAGUCGAACGGUAACAGGAAGAAGCUUGCUUCUUUGCUGACGAGUGGCGGACGGGUGAGUAAUGUCUGGGAAACUGCCUGAUGGAGGGGGAUAACUACUGGAAACGGUAGCUAAUACCGCAUAACGUCGCAAGACCAAAGAGGGGGACCUUCGGGCCCCUUGCCAUCGGAUGUACCCAGAUGGGAUUAGCUAGUAGGUGGGGUAACGGCUCACCUAGGCGACGAUCCCUAGCUGGUCUGAGAGGAUGACCAGCCACACUGGAACUGAGACACGGUCCAGACUCCUACGGGAGGCAGCAGUGGGGAAUAUUGCACAAUGGGCGCAAGCCUGAUGCAGCCAUGCCGCGUGUAUGAAGAAGGCCUUCGGGUUGUAAAGUACUUUCAGCGGGGAGGAAGGGAGUAAAGUUAAUACCUUUGCUCAUUGACGUUACCCGCAGAAGAAGCACCGGCUAACUCCGUG
rnacentral:rRNA from 1 species